UCAGUUCAGAUUGCAGGCUGCAACUCGCCUGCAUGAAGUCGGAAUUGCUAGUAAUGGCAGGUCAGCAUACUGCCGUGAAUACGUUCCCGGGCCUUGUACACACCGCCCGUCACACCAUGAGAGUUGGAGAUACCCGAAGCCUAUGAGCUAACUUUUAGAGGCAGUAGUCGAAGGUAGAAUCAAUGAUUGGGGUGAAGUCGUAACAAGGUAAC
rnacentral:rRNA from 1 species